CUUCGGGCCUUGCGCUAUCAGAUGAGCCUAGGUCGGAUUAGCUAGUUGGUGGGGUAAUGGCUCACCAAGGCGACGAUCCGUAACUGGUCUGAGAGGAUGAUCAGUCACACUGGAACUGAGACACGGUCCAAACUCAUACGGGAGGCAGCAGUGGGGAAUAUUGGACAAUGGGCGAAAGCCUGAUCCAGCCAUGCCGCGUGUGUGAAGAAGGUCUUCGGAUUGUAAAGCACUUUAAGUUGGGAGGAAGGGCAGUAAGUUAAUACCUUGCUGUUUUGACGUUACCGACAGAAUAAGCACCGGCUAACUCUGUGCCAGCAGCCGCGGUAAUACAGAGGGUGCAAGCGUUAAUCGGAAUUACUGGGCGUAAAGCGCGCGUAGGUGGUUUGUUAAGUUGGAUGUGAAAGCCCCCGGGCUCAACCUGGGAACUGCAUCCAAAACUGGCAAGCUAGAGUACGGUAGAGGGUGGUGGAAUUUCCUGUGUAGCGGUGAAAUGCGU
rnacentral:rRNA from 1 species